rnacentral:lncRNA from 1 species
GUGAGUCAGGCAGGCAGGCAGGCACCUGGACUUGGGUGUGUCAUGGUCAGACUGGGCAGGCCACCAGCAGCUCUACCCUUCCCUAGGGGCCUACUGACCGAGAAGGCAGCACCCGUCAUGAACAUCAUCCAUAGCAUCUUCAGCCUGGUGCUCAAGUUCCGAAGCCAGCUCAUCUCUCAGAACUGGGGCCCGGCUACCGGCCCCCGUGGUGCCGAGCACCCCAACUUCCCACUCAUGCAGCAGUCCUACAGCACCUUCAAGUACUACUCCCACUUCCUCUUCAAAGUAGUGACCAAGCUGGUGAACAGAGGCUAUCAGCCCCACCUGGAAGACUUUUUGCUUCGGAUCAACUUCAACAACUACUACCAGGACUCCUGAGGACAGACAGGACCAUGGCAGUGGACAGAGAUAGACCUGAGGAAGCUGCUUUAUUUAGAGCCCUGGGAGAUUCAACAGGUGUGAGGCCCAGCCCCUGCCCUUUGGGCAAGAUGCACAAGCAGGUCACAAGGCUUACUUAGGCCUGUUUGCAUUACUUAAACAUGGGACUGAUAUCCUAGCAUGAAGCACUGUGUGCUGGGGGCAUCUUGAAUGCUAGACCAGGGCAGUACUGCUAAGGUAGUAUCAGACAGAGAUGGGUCAGGUUUUGACUGGAGACCUCUGCCGUCAUGGAGAGACCGUGAGGACAGGCAUCCCAGUGGUCUCAGCAGCUCAGCAGCACUGGGGAGGCCUCGGGAGACUCCAGACAUGUGGAGCCACCGAGGCCUUUAUGAGGAUCAUGUUACGCAGAGUUCUGCUGCCCAGAGUGGAGGCCUGCUACUGUAGGAAGACUGCUCGUCAGUGGUCCUCGCCACUGCCUCAGGGCCUGUGGCCUCCUCUUCACUGUGGUAAGGAGACUCUAGCAGCUUCAGGACACGUCGCACCUAGAGGAUAGGUGAGAAAACUCGGUGAGGAGCGUAUUUAAUGGCAUGUCCAUGACAGGAAGGGUAAUAGGCACAGGUGUGCGCUUGCCUCUGAAAAGUCUCCAUUUUCUGCAGCUUCAAUGGCUUUCUGUGCAAUAUAGUUCCUUAGGACGUACUUGGGGUUGUUGGCAUGCAUGAUGCGUACACGUUCUGCCUGCCAGGCAGCAAUGUCUCCGACACCCUCCUUCUCCUUGUCCAGACGCUCUCUGGAAUCAAAUUUUUCCAAAGAACAGCAUGUGCCAUGCCCCCAAUUCGGGGCCAUCUGCAGCCACCUUGUAAGAUGGCCAUUGUAUCAAGAAGCCAGUACAGAUGACCCUGAGGGCUGCCUACCUGUAUUCCUGUAGCCAGGUUUCCCAGUGGUCUCUGUUCUUGCUCUGCAGUUCAGAGGGGCUCAGCUGUUCCAGCCGUGACUGAUGCUCCACACGUUCCAGCUCCUUUGUGACAUUUGCUUGAGUGCCAAUGAGUGCAAAGAGCUGUGGGUUCGACUGUGCCAGCAUCAGCAUCAUAGAGAGCUGCCUGCAGGGAGGGGUGGCCGGGGAAGUGCCUCAGCUAGGGGCAGCACAUGACUCAGGUGCUGAGGCAACUUCCCAAAUUCCUACACACCUACCCGGAAAUUAGUUAGGUCAGGGGACCAUCUCUCCUAGGUAUGUUUCUACAAAUCUCAAGUGCCAGUUCCUCUUGAUGGUUACUGCUCCAUUCCCUACUAAAUUCCUUUUUCAUAACCAG